rnacentral:rRNA from 1 species
ACGGGAGGCAGCAGUAAGGAAUAUUGGUCAAUGGAGGCAACUCUGAACCAGCCAUGCCGCGUGCAGGAUGACUGCCCUAUGGGUUGUAAACUGCUUUUGUCAGGGAAUAAACCUACUUACGUGUAAGUAGCUGAAUGUACCUGAAGAAUAAGGAUCGGCUAACUCCGUGCCAGCAGCCGCGGUAAUACGGAGGAUCCAAGCGUUAUCCGGAUUUAUUGGGUUUAAAGGGUGCGUAGGCGGUCUUAUAAGUCAGUGGUGAAAGACGGCAGCUUAACUGUCGCAGUGCCUUUGAUACUGUAGGACUUGAAUCUAUUUGAAGUGGGCGGAAUAAGACAAGUAGCGGUGAAAUGCAUAGAUAUGUCUUAGAACUCCGAUUGCGAAGGCAGCUCACUAAGUUAGUAUUGACGCUGAUGCACGAAAGCGUGGGGAUCAAACAGGAUUAGAUACCCUGGUAGUCCACGCCCUAAACGAUGAUAACUCGAUGUUUGCGAUACACAGUAAGCGUCCAAGCGAAAGCGUUAAGUUAUCCACCUGGGGAGUACGGUCGCAAGAUUGAAACUCAAAGGAAUUGACGGGGGCCCGCACAAGCGGAGGAGCAUGUGGUUUAAUUCGAUGAUACGCGAGGAACCUUACCCGGGCUUGAAAGUUAGUGAAUGAGACAGAGACGUCUCAGUCCUUCGGGACACGAAACUAGGUGCUGCAUGGCUGUCGUCAGCUCGUGCCGUGAGGUGUUGGGUUAAGUCCCGCAACGAGCGCAACCCCUAUGUUUAGUUGCCAGCACGUAAUGGUGGGGACUCUAAACAGACUGCCUGUGCAAACAGAGAGGAAGGUGGGGACGACGUCAAGUCAUCAUGGCCCUUACGUCCGGGGCUACACACGUGCUACAAUGGAUGGUACAGCGGGCAGCUACAUAGCAAUAUGAUGCUAAUCUCUAAAAGCCAUUCACAGUUCGGAUUGAGGUCUGCAACUCGACCUCAUGAAGUUGGAUUCGCUAGUAAUCGCGUAUCAGCAAUGACGCGGUGAAUACGUUCCCGGGCCUUGUACACACCGCCCGUCAAGCCAUGAAAGUUGGGGGUACCUAAAGCAUGUAACCGCAAGGAGCG